GACGAACGCUGGCGGCGUGCUUAAAACAUGCAAGUCGAACGGACUUCUCAUGAAGCUUGCGAUUGAGAAGUUAGUGGCGGACGGGUGAGUAACGCGUGGAUAAUCUGCCCUUAAGUGUGGAAUAACGUACCGAAAGGUGCGCUAAUACCGCAUAAUGCCUGGCAACACAAGUUGUCCGGCCAAAGAAGGCCUCUGUUUACAAGCUUUCGCUUCAGGAUGAGUCCGCGUACCAUUAGCUUGUUGGUGGGGUAAUGGCCUACCAAGGCUGCGAUGGUUAGCUGGUCUGAGAGGAUGAUCAGCCACACUGGAACUGAGACACGGUCCAGACUCCUACGGGAGGCAGCAGUGAGGAAUAUUGCACAAUGGGCGAAAGCCUGAUGCAGCGACGCCGCGUGAGGGAAGACGGUCUUCGGAUUGUAAACCUCUGUCUUCGGUGACGACCAAAGACGGUAGCCGAGGAGGAAGCCACGGCUAACUACGUGCC
rnacentral:rRNA from 1 species